GACAGAACUCUGAUCACUACUCGCUUUGCAGAGAUGGAAAUGCUUCAUAGAUUUUUACGGCCAGACUGGGCUGCAUAACACACGCUGGAGAAUUUCACUCAGCAAUUCCCACAGUGAGCCCGGAACUGGUGGGAAGAAUUCCCCAAAGUGUGAGGCAUCCCUCAAGCCCUAGCCAGUCUCCAUGAGCUGUAAGGAUGCACAGCGCAAGAUGCAUCAAGAUGCAGCCAGCUCUGGGGUGGAACGUGGCAGCAUAGCACAGCACAAAGCAAGAAAGAGUCCCAGUGGGAACUGAUAGUCUUCAUGCAGGUGAGAGACCCAACAGUCUUCCUAGCUCUGUUUCCUUUGAAGCGAGAUGGUUACAGGCCAGCACGACCACAGGGCAACAAAACCUGCUCAGCUGCUGUGUCCUAGCCAACAGCAGUGCAUGCCUCAAACCCACUCACCCCACAUUCCCAGAGGUCAGGCGAGCGUCUCCCAGGUUCUCCCUGUCUUUCCAGCCCAGCCCAGAUGGCUGCAGGAACCGGAACUGCACGUGUUAAAGAGGAUGGGUGUUGCUGGGUUCUUCGUAAAUAAACGAUGCUCAUCAACCGUCUUCUUUCCUGGAGGCCUAUUGGGCUGGGCGUGAAGGAAUCGAGCCAGGCCAUUUCCAUUUCACGUUGCCUGCAUUAUUCAUGGCUCCAAUCAAGAGGCAUGAGAGCCAGGUUGGCAUGCGCUGGGAACAGAAGGAUGCAAGCUGUGCUGGGCACCUCUGCCAGACGCCCCCACUUAGAGCCCCCCCAAAGGCAGCAGGAGCUCAAUUCUGACCCUGCUCACUCCAUCGGGCUGGUGACAAUCAGCAUGGCUGUGCCCACUUACACCAGCCGUGCAUCUGUCCCAUUGGCGUCAGUGGUGAUUACCGGCAAAUCUGGCCUUAGGCUCCUACCUCACAGGGGGCACAACCCGGGGCUCCGCUCACUGGCAGCGUGAGCAGAAAGGCCAAGGAUUGAGUGGGCCCUGGAGGUGGAGAAGGGAGUUCGGGCUGAGCACUGGUCCCUCCAGGGUAGGGUGGAGGCAUGUUGACUUGAGGGGAAGCUGGGAAUGCACGGUGCAACCCCCGGUGCUGGCACCUUUCACUGGUUUUAAUUUGAUGUGUCCGGCAAGAAACAUGCUGAAAAUCUGGAAGAAUUGGAGCGAGAGCCAGGGGGAAGGGUGCUGCAAUGCCAAGGGACUGCAUUUCAAUGUGGACCGAGGUCUGUAUGGUGUCUAGAGGGCCCAGCCGUUCUCCUGGCCAGCUCUUGUAUUCCCAGCUGAGGGCAUGGCUUUCUCUUCGAGGGGCAGGAUGGCUCCUGGAUGCAGCCUAGCCCUGCACAUGGAAUACAGAAACCCAGCACAUCCGAACCCCACCCGUCGCUGCUCUGGGGGCCAAGGGAGACUCCCACGGAGAGCCCAGGGGCUGGGGGAGGAGGCUGCAGUGCUGAGAGGGGGGUGGGGCUUUUAAUCAGCCAGGGUAUGAGCCGCAGUCACUGGCUCCGUUGCCUCCUGCCCGCCCCGGCCUCUUUGCUCCGUCCCUGCAGAAUUUGGCACCUUGGCCCGGUAACUCCUUGGCUGCCUGUGACGGGAAGGCGGUGGUGGGUAAUGGCUUACACGCUGAGCAGAGAGGAUGCCAAGGGUUUCCAUUCGCAUGAGCUGCGUUAAAGCGCCCAGCAGGUGGGCCGGCUGAGUGCAGUAGCUCAGGGUGCAGCAGGAGGAGGGAGCAGUGCGGGGAGCAAAGCGGGCAGCUGGCUUAGGUAAGACGCAGAGGCGGAUGCCAUGGCUUGGGCAGGCCUGGCUCCUUGCUCCAGAGCCUGGACCCUCCAUUUCCCACAGCACUGCCAUGCAGUCACACUGGCCACCAUGGGAGCCGUGCUGGGAGGGAGGCUCCCUGGGGGCGAGGGCCCGGAGGCUCAGGGCUGCUUCAUGCUCGUGCUUUGAGUUUAUCUCCAGGGAAUCGACUGUGGGAAAGGAGCCCAACAGGGAGUCCCGGCACGCGAGUUCUUCUGUCCACAGAGCAGGUUUUCUGUGCAGGGUGAGCUCUCCGCCUCACCCCCUACAUACCUGCACUGGGACACGGAAGGGCUGAGAGGGGUGGGGGUCUGACUCCACAGCCUGCUUGUUCACCUGCCUCUCUGCUGAACCUGCCGGCAUGGGAGGAGGUGUUGUGAUGGGGGCAUCUGUCUGGUAGGGUCUCUGUUGCCUCCCAGGGGCAUUUCCCUGGCACAGGGAACCCUGCCUACACUCGGGUAUAGAGAAGGCUCAGCAGCCUUCAAUGCAGAGCACAGGUUGGGCCCAAAGAGGGAGGGGACAACUGGCCGGGACAUUCUUGAGCCCCAAGAUUGUGCGCCCUUGUGAAUGCUGGGGGGGGCACUGACUUAGAGCCACAGCUUGAGCUGCCCUGGGCCACAUCGGGGGGUUGCACCAACCCCCGGAGCCGCUGAACAGGGGAGGUGCAAAUUGCUUCCUUUCUGUCCCUGGGCUAGGAUGCAUCUGUCACGGAGCAGCCAGCACCAGCCCUGGCCUGGGUUCACACCGUCGGCCAGGAGCUCACCGGCUGAGAGUGUCACCCCACCCCUGGAACUGGCUGCUGCGGCCAGGCUCCCUCCCAGGGCUGGCGGGUGCAGAACCGCUGGGCUGGGCUGCAUCCUGCUGGAAUGUUCCCAGCCCCUGCCUGGCCGUCUCUCAGCGGCUCUGUCUGGUUGUGGGAGCGGCUUGGCACUCGGCUGCUGUUUGUGAGCGAGCCCCACAAUGCACCGGCGCGCUGUGAUUCAUGGGGUUGGGCUGGACCCUUUUCUAUCCAUCCUAGCAGGCACAUGGGGUGGUGGAUUCUCAGCAGGGCUCCACAGGACCCCCUGCCUACCCCCUGGCCGUAGGUCUGUCCGUGUCGCCCUGCCUACCCCCUGGCCGUAGGUCUGUCUGUGCCGCCCUGCCUACCCCCUGGCCGUAGGUCUGUCUGUGCCGCCCUGCCUACCCCUCUGUCUGUAGGUCUGUCACAUUCUGAGUGCAAUCUCGCCUUAGGUAUCACUUCCGCAGACUUCCGGAGGGGGAAGGCUGCACCAGCUCUCUGCUUUUCCUUUGUGUCAUUCUCCUUUGCCUGGUGUCUGGGGGAUAUUCCUCCAUUGCCAGCCCCUUCAUGGAGACCUGAUCUCCCCCCAGUCUAUCCUCACCUCUAAGGCUUCACAUCUGCCCAGCUGUCUUGGGCUAGCCUGGACCAUGAGAUUCCUUCGCUGGCUUGGGAGAAGGGAUAACUGCAGAGUGCGCCUUCUGCCCUCUCUCCUCCCAGGAGAUGUGCCGCCUCCACAGAGCAGCUUGGGGGGCUGGUGAUUGCCAUGUGUCUGCUCACUCUAACAAGCAGUCCUACCCUCUUCAUCAAAUGUGUCCAGGACGACUGGGGUGGCUGCUGCUCUCUGAGGUAUGGAAGGGAGCCAGCUUCUGAUCUGCAGUAAAGACGCCAGCCUAUAAACUUCUGCAAGAGCUUAAUGUCCAAAUGGCUGCAAAACACACAGCAAGGAAAGGCACUGAUUAAAAACAGACAACUCUGCCCAGAAACUGCACACUCACUCCUGGCUAUAAGUCCCCGAGUGCUUUUCAUCUCCCAUUGCCAUAGCAUGCAUCUAUUGGCGUUGCUGUGUGUUGUGCUGCUCGGUGUGUUAAAUUGUGUGUGUUAUAUGCUGCUGUUUGUGUGCGGAACUGUGUUUUUUUGCGUUGGUGGCUUACAAUAAUGUGCAUGUAGUGUUUGUCUAUUGUGUUGAUGUGUGUUUACACAGUGUUGUUUUUCUCUCUGCAUGUUGCUGUGCGUGAAAUCGAUUCUGGAUUUGUGUGACACGGACAGGCCCAGGCAGGUGUGUUCCCUGUGCCCAACCAUCUUCUCAGUAUUCACCAGCGGGGGUCACGUGUGGUCUCUGCCAAAAGCUAGGAACUAGCUGCUCUCCCAAUAACCGGGACAGUGCUCGUACGGGGAACCAGGUCCAGAGCUCUGUGAAGUGGGACACACUGUUCCAAACAAUCAACAUCUGUCGAGCCAGCCCAGGUCUUGUGUUUAGUGGCUGGACCAGGUGCAAGCUUGAGCCUUUACAAGGACAAAAGACCCCCAAGAGAAUAGGGGAUUCCCUGGGCUGGGAGACAGUGGUCUGUCACUGUACAAAGGAAGAAGACAGGGCAGAGGAUGUCAUUCAUUAUGGAGGCGACACUGGGAGCAGGAGUGGCUCACGAAAGGCGGCUUGCCCCUGGACAAGCACUGUAAGGAUUGACCAUUGGGAGCGAAAUACCUUAUUAGAUGGGGAAAUAACUCACUAAUAAGUACAGGCUAUAGAUUGCACUUGUAACCUCGUGUUUCCAAGCCCUUACACUUGCUUGCAUUUGAAUCUCUAUCUGACACACUGCGCAAUAAACUUCAGUUUGGUUUGACCAUAGACCUGUCUGAGUGCCUUGUGCUGAGGAGCGCGUUGGACUGAGGUGAAACCAGUGAAGUGGGGGGCACUGCUUCCCUGGAGGCGGUAGCUCACUGUACCCUGUGGGUGUCCAGAAGAUAAGGGUCGGGCCACUGGAGUGUAACAAAGUG